CUAAACCCUACACAAUCAACAACAUCAACGUUUUCUAUUCCCACCAAAACAUUGAUGUUUUGGUUAUUGUUCAUCUUCAUCUUCUUCAUCUAUUCUCACCAAAACAUCGAUGUUUCAGUUAUUGUUCAUCUUCAUCUUCUUCAUCACUUUUCCAAAAGCAUUCGAUUGAAUUCCACUUCCACGAAUGAAAAGGCGCAUAAAGCAACAAUCUUUUCUAUAUUAGCUUCAAUAUUUGUCUCAAAGAACCGCCGAUCCGGUCAGUAACAAGCCUUAUUUCCGACGGUCAGGUUACGUUUCUAUAGUUUUAGCACGAUUGCAUUUGUGUGUGUGUGUUUGUUGUAAGUAUAUAAUUCUUUGCUGCAAUUGUUUUUUUAAGUGAGGAUUUGUGUUUGUUUAAGUGUCUGAUUGAAUUAAUGAUACUGUUUUGGUUCUGUUAUGUAUGCAGAUUUAUUAUGAACGGUGACGAGCCUAAAAAACGACAAAAAUGUCCACGACGUGGUGAGUAUGGACACCGUGAAAAGACAUGCAAAAAUUCAGCACCUGAAGCACCUGAAGACGCUACUCAACAUCAAGCGUCAAAAGUAAAAGAGGACCAGGAAAGAGUACAAAAAAUAUGUAAAAGUAGAAGAAUUGUGGUUUGAAGGGAAUUUAUGUUUUUAUUAUGAACGAAAUUGAUGUUUUUUGAACGAAAUUUAAGUUUUUAUUAUGAGUA